rnacentral:rRNA from 1 species
CGGAAGAUCCAAGCGUUAUCCGGAUUUAUUGGGUUUAAAGGGUGCGUAGGCGGAAUAGUAAGUCAGUGGUGAAAGCCUGCAGCUUAACUGUAGAAUUGCCAUUGAUACUGCUAAUCUUGAGUACAUAUGAAGUGGGCGGAAUGUGUCAUGUAGCGGUGAAAUACUUAGAUAUGACACAGAACACCGAUUGCGAAGGCAGCUCACUAAACUGUAACUGACGCUGAGGCACGAAAGCAUGGGGAGCAAACAGGAUUAGAUACCCUGGUAGUCCAUGCCGUAAACUAUGAUUACUCGAUGUGUGCGAUACACUGUACGCGUCUAAGCGAAAGCGUUAAGUAAUCCACCUGGGAAGUACGACCGCAAGGUUG